rnacentral:rRNA from 1 species
UCCAGACUCCUACGGGAGGCAGCAGUGGGGGAUAUUGCACAAUGGGGGAAACCCUGAUGCAGCGACGCCGCGUGGGCGAAGAAGUAUUUCGGUAUGUAAAGCCCUAUCAGCAGGGAAGAAGAAAUGACGGUACCUGAGUAAGAAGCACCGGCUAACUACGUGCCAGCAGCCGCGGUAAUACGUAGGGGGCAAGCGUUAUCCGGAUUCACUGGGUGUAAAGGGAGCGUAGACGGCGACGCAAGUCUGGAGUGAAAGCCCGGGGCCCAACCCCGGGACUGCUCUGGAAACUGCGGCGCUGGAGUACGGGAGGGGCAGGCGGAAUUCCUGGUGUAGCGGUGAAAUGCGUAGAUAUCAGGAGGAACACCGGCGGCGAAGGCGGCCUGCUGGACCGUGACUGACGUUGAGGCUCGAGAGCGUGGGGAGCAAACAGGAUUAGAUACCCGAGUACU